UACGGGAGGCAGCAGUGGGGAAUAUUGCACAAUGGGCGCAAGCCUGAUGCAGCCAUGCCGCAUGUAUGAAGAAGGCCUUCGGGUUGUAAAGUACUUUCAGUCGUGAGGAAGGUGUUAAGGUUAAUAACCUUAGCAAUUGACGUUAGCGACAGAAGAAGCACCGGCUAACUCCGUGCCAGCAGCCGCGGUAAUACGGAGGGUGCGAGCGUUAAUCGGAAUUACUGGGCGUAAAGGGCACGCAGGCGGUUAAUUAAGUUGGAUGUGAAAUCCCCGGGCUUAACCUGGGAAUGGCAUUCAAGACUGGUUAGCUAGAGUCUUGUAGAGGGGGUAGAAUUCCAUGUGUAGCGGUGAAAUGCGUAGAGAUGUGGAGGAAUACCGGUGGCGAAGGCGGCCCCUGGACAAAGACUGACGCUCAUGUGCGAAAGCGUGGGGAGCGAAACAGGGAUUAGAUACC
rnacentral:rRNA from 1 species